AUCCUACUGACGAUUCUCAAAUAGGACGAAACGCGCAUCGUGGAU
rnacentral:hammerhead_ribozyme from 1 species